AAAUAUUUAUGUAAUCAGAUCCCCAAGGGAUCUACGCAAUCAGCUCUUUCCCGUUUGAGUUUGUGUUUUUUCCGGAGGCUUAUUUAAGAAUUCUCUCCUUAUCUCAAGGUCAUUAAGGCUUUCUCUCUGAACCCGGAGCUCGUCUAUUUGGCUGUGUUCACUGAGCAGGAAUGAGGAUCCACCUGUCCCCACCUUCUAGAAAGCUCGAGAUGCACACCACCUGUUCCAGCUUUUCACUUCAGAUCUUGAAUGUCGUCCUCCCAAGACUCAUGUGCUGGAUGCCCAGUCAGUGGAGCUAUGGGGAGAUGGUAGAAUCCUUCAGAAAGCUUGCCUGAUGUGAGCCGACUUCUCCAAGCAAGAUAUAUGUACCAUGCUGCCACAGGCCUGAAGCAACAGAGCUGGGGGACCAUGGAGCUGUACCCUUCUUCAUAAGUGUAUGCGUGUGUGCAUGUACACACACACACACACACACACACACACACACACACACACACACACAUACUGACUAAGAGCUCUAGGAUUUGUCUGUGUCUAGUUAUAAUCGGCAGGUAAUAUUACAUGUUUGUAAGCACAAAAUGGGGCAGACCUUUCCCAGAUCUCCAGUAUUUGUAAAAAUCAAGGUUAUCAAUUUUAUUUAUCUACUUUAUGUAUGUAAGUACAGAUGGCUGUGGUUGUAGAGAAUUGAACUUGGGACCUCUGGUUCUCUCCAGUUGUGAGGUUAAUAAUUUAAUGACUAUGAUGAGGUAAGUGAUUUCACCACAGAAGGUUACUCUUUGCUUGUUUGUCCAGUGCUGGGAAUAGAACUCAGGGCUGUAGCAAGAAGUAAUGGUCUCUCACUGGGCUACAGUCCCCAGACUCUCUGUCAUAAUGCUUGGACUGAAGCUAAAAUCUUCAAAUUUCUUCUGUUGUUCGUUCGCUUCUCAUUUCCAUACCAGAUGUUUGCCUCAGGAGUCUGUAGUCGUUGGCUCUUUGGCCUCAGUUUGAAGUCAUGGGUGGGUAUACUUUAGGGAUCUCUGUGUAUGUCAACAUUUUCUUUGAUUUUUAUGUUGGGACAGGGUGAGGAGGGAAUUGGUAAGGGAAGAAAACAGAAGGAAAGAGUGCAGGUCUCCUUGUUUAAUAUGCAGAAUUUCCUCUAGUCCUGCUAGAGGUGUUCUUGUCCAGCCUGUUGCCAUAUGAAACUCUGGGUCUGAGUCCUCCUCCAUAGUGACAACUGCUCACAGUGAACCCUCACCGGUACUUCUGAGUGUAGGGACUCACAGUGAGCCUGAUGGGAGAUUUGUGGAGAAGGCUCCAUAAUGAUCUAGGCAGAGAUUCAACUCUCCUGUUUCCAGUGAUCUGCCUGCCUCACACCACCAUAUAUAAGGUGACAGGCGCCUUUUGGACAUCUACAAUCCUGAUACUCUGGAGAUGAGACAAGAAAGAAAUAGAAUUAUACCCAAUCCUUGAAUUUCUACAGAGUUCUGUUCGUCUAAAUGUUAUGAGUUUUUUAUUAAAUAAAAAAUUUCAUCAAUAUAAAGUAUUGAAAGG
ensembl:lincRNA Gm20609 predicted gene 20609